rnacentral:rRNA from 1 species
GUGGGGAAUCUUGCGCAAUGGGCGACAGCCUGACGCAGCAACGCCGCGUGGGGGAAGAAGGCCUUCGGGUUGUAAACCUCUUUCAGGUGGGACGAAGCUUCGCCGGUGAAUAGCCGUGCGGAGUGACGGUACCGCCACAAGCAGCCCCGGCUAACUACGUGCCAGCAGCCGCGGUAACACGUAGGGGGCAAGCGUUGUCCGGAAUCAUUGGGCGUAAAGCGCGCGUAGGCGGCCAGAUAAGUCCGGUGUGAAAGUCAAAGGCUCAACCUUUGAAUGCCGCUGGAAACUGUCUGGCUAGAGUCCGGAAGGGGCGAGUGGAACUCCUGGUGUAGCGGUGAAAUGCGCAGAUAUCAGGAAGAACACCUAUGGCGAAGGCAGCUCGCUGGGACGGUACUGACGCUGAGGCGCGAAAGCGUGGGGAGCAAACAGGAUUAGAUACCCUAGUAGUCC